UACGUAGGGUCCGAGCGUUGUCCGGAAUCACUGGGCGUAAAGCGCACGUAGGCGGGUUGUUAAGUCGGGGGUGAAAUCCUGGAGCUCAACUCCAGAACUGCCUUCGAUACUGGAGAGCUCGAGUCCGGGAGAGGUGAGUGGAACUGCGAGUGUAGAGGUGAAAUUCGUAGAUAUUCGCAAGAACACCAGUGGCGAAGGCAGCUCACUGGCCCGGUACUGACGCUGAGGUGCGAAAGCGUGGGGAGCAAACAGG
rnacentral:rRNA from 1 species